GGGCCUGUAGCUCAGUGGUCAGAGCAGGGGUUUCCAAAACCUUGUGUCGCCAGUUCAAAUCUGGUCGGGUCCA
rnacentral:tRNA from 1 species